UUAUGCCUCAUGUAUUAUCAGUGCUAUGUUGUACUGUUUAGAAUGAAGCUACCACUGAUCAUAAAUAAGAGAUAAAACCCUGUCUUUGUUGAAGUUCUAAUCUUCGAAGUCAAGUUCUUUGGUAGCUUAUCAGGAAUUCCACAACAGGAGUAGAAAUGGCAGGCUGCUUUGUCUAAAAGGCGGUACUGGCAGACACCUUCUUUGAAAGACAACUUUCUCUGAAUUCUUGUUUUUACAAGUGCAAUGUACAACUGGAAGAGGAAUUUUAGCUGCACUCUCAGUUCAGAGGAGACAACUAUGCACUAAGAACACAACCCAGAAUCUUUUUCAAAACACCAGAGUUCCACAGCAGACAUUAAGAACUUCCCUAGCAGGCAAGCAAAUAUGAAAAUGGUUUCCUGAAAGUAGAGCAUUGAGCCACCAUGGUUCUGCAAGGACCCAGAAGUGCAGUCGGGCCAACCCCAGAAGUUCCUUCACAAUGCAACUAGUUAUGAAGGCAAGCUGCUCUACUGGACAACGGAGCUGGCUUGUGUCAGGGGCCAGACUAGAUGGCCCAGGAGACCCCUUCUGAUUCGCUAUGUUUCUAUGGACCACCAAUGCCGAUUGUAUUCAGUAACACUUUCAAGUAUGACUUGGCAACCUCCUGGAAAGGCCAGAAGUCACUUUUUAAAUAAACUAGUAAGCAAAUAAAAACAGA